rnacentral:rRNA from 1 species
UACGUAGGGGGCAAGCGUUAAUCGGAAUUACUGGGCGUAAAGCGUGCGCAGGCGGUUUUGUAAGCCAGAUGUGAAAUCCCCGGGCUUAACCUGGGAAUGGCAUUUGGGACUGCAAGGCUCGAGUGCGGCAGAGGAGACUGGAAUUCCUGGUGUAGCAGUGAAAUGCGCAGAUAUCGGGAGGAACACCAAUGGCGAAGGCAGCUCGCUGGGACGGUACUGACGCUGAGACGCGAAAGCGUGGGGAGCAAACAGG